rnacentral:rRNA from 1 species
UACGUAGGGUGCAAGCGUUAUCCGGAUUUAUUGGGCGUAAAGGGCUCGUAGGCGGUUCGUCGCGUCCGGUGUGAAAGUCCAUCGCUUAACGGUGGAUCCGCGCCGGGUACGGGCGGGCUUGAGUGCGGUAGGGGGAGACUGGAAUUCCCGGUGUAACGGUGGAAUGUGUAGAUAUCGGGAAGAACACCAAUGGCGAAGGCAGGUCUCUGGGCCGUUACUGACGCUGAGGAGCGAAAGCGUGGGGAGCGAACAGG